AAUGCAUUAGAAUUACUCCAAAAAGCAUUAUUAUGGAUAAAAACAUUAUAAAUCUACAUCUACAUCUACACUACUAUUAAAAGAGCAAACAUUACUUAUCCUAAACCCACGCGAAUUAGUGUACACAGGACAAUCAGUACCCUACGAUCUAUUCCACUUAACGAUAUCUAAGGGUCAGUUUCGCCUCCAUGGUCUGCCAACCAAUUGGAUGGCCCAGAUUCGAUGUUCUGCCACCGUACGUCCUGCCCCGCGCACGUCCGUCUUCAACCCAACCGCCCCUCGCAUCCCUUCAUUCUUGCAGGCGCAUGCGGGAGUUGUUGCCGCCGCCGAGCACGUGGGCUCCGCCGCCCUACCGCCAGACGUGGACGCACGCGGCCGUCGCCGUCGCCGCCGCCGGGCACGUGGCCUCCGUCGCCCCGCCAUCUGGCGUGGAAGCACGCAGCCGUGGUUGUCGCCGCCGCCGUCCGAUGUGGACUCUGGCCGUCGCCGCCACCGGGCACGUGGCCUCCGCCGCCCAACCUGGACACACGUGGUCGUGGCCGUUGCCGCCGCGGCGUGCCUAGCCUCCGCCGGCCUGCUGCCCGGCGUGGACGCACGCGGCCGUGGCCUCCGUCGCCCAGCCGCCGGGGACGUGUACGCACGCGGGCGUGGCCGCUGUCAGGGACAUUGGCGCACACGGUAGAGAAAAGCUCCACCGCAACCUCUGUCGUAAGAAUAAGAUUAUUUCUCCUAUCUCUAAUCUACUUGCAAUCUGACAUCCAUUGCCAAUUUGGCUUUCUGGAAAUUCGGUGGCACAUGAAUUCUAAUUCUAAUUUGAACAUGGAGCACUAUUUUUUUUUCUUGUGAUAACCACCAAGCAUGAACAUGCAGUGCAUGUAUAGCUCUUGCCGAGUGAAAUUUUUAUAUCAUAUUCCGUUGUCAAUUUACCCUUUGUUUGAGGACAAUAGGCUGUUCUCACAUUAGCAUACAUCUAAACUUCUAGAUUCAUUUUUAAUACAUGGUCGUUUGAAGCACCCAUCUUUGUACUGUUUUGUGUGUGUAUGUAUGGUUUUUUUUCCUUCUUCUGAAAGAAUCAUAUAUGCUUCGAGUUAGACUGAUGGGCAAUGCUAGAAAUCACUUGGAAGUUACAGGUGUGUUGGUGCAGAUUGCUUAAAAAAACUUUCAUGUAUCACUUUAUUGUAACUCUGACGUUUAAUUUGUGUUCAAUUAUCUGUAGUACAACCUAACUAUUUGAUCUUCGGGAUGCUAAUUUGUGCACACACAGAAUAAAAACCGGUAGCGAUGACAAUGUUUCCUGUCAAGAUCAAUACCUGCUACAUAUGCAUUGUUUCCUGUGAUGAUCAAUUCCUGCUACACCUACACUAGAUCCUGUGAUGCAUUGCGAGGCCUGGAACGACUUUAAUUUUGAAUAUAUUUUUAGUUUCGGAGCUGUUUAGUCCAGCAAUGAAACACAGGUCAUUAUCCAGUCUGCUCGCACGAUUGGCACACACAGCCACCGCCGACCAUCGUUAUCCGGCCAUAAUCCCGACGUCCUCCUCGCAUCACCCUGCUGUGUGCCCCUGGCCGAUUGCCUCGAUACGCCAUCCAAGCGCGCGUGGCCACAAAAGCUCUUCAUCAUGGUAAGGCGCAGGUACACGACGACAAGCUGCAGAACAACGAGCAGCUCGACAGUGGAGUACCGACGCGAUACUUGUCAUGGGGAAUCGGGAAGAGGAGUAUGCUCAUAUGGUCAAGGCUGGUAUCAUCGACCCUGUAAAAGUGAUCCAAAAUGCACUUCAAGGUGCAGAAUGGUACAACUUCAGUUCUCUAACCAUGUACUUUAUGUAUGGCCAUGACAGAAGUAAUCAGACUUGUUUGACAAUUUGUGUUUCUGUACAAUGUUUAUCCAUUGAUCACAACCAUAGAGGUUGCAGAUGAACGACGGGUUUUGAGGACAGUGUGGCAUGAUGCUUGCGUGAAUUGUAUUAGGGUGCGCGCAUUCUGUCCAACGGGAUUUGACUGUAAAUCUCUGUUCAUUACUUCAGGUGUGCAUUGAGCAUACAUGAUUUGCCUGAUGAUAACAAUUGAUUGGCAGGUUUGGAUUAUAAUUUUUUUUUCGUGGGUCAGGUUUGGAUUAUAUCUAACUAGAAGGAUAUCGACACUGCUCCAUUGGCAAGCUUUGAUAUUUUUAUUUUCUAGCUAGAAAAAGAUAACAACACGAGUGCUCAAGGUGAUAAAUAUGUUCACCUACAUUGCAACGGGCCAUAAAUAUUUUGUGUACCCACUAAUUUUUUGUUGUUGAUUCUGUUUAAGUAUAUUCUUGCUAAUUAGGAUCAAAA